rnacentral:lncRNA from 1 species
GCCCCCUUAAUAUUGUAUGUGUCUGCGUAGUCUAUUACAUCUUGAAUUAGUCUCAAAUUAAACCCAAUAAAUCUAUUUUUAACAUAACCGGUUUGGUCUUCAUUUAUAAUUUUUGGAAGUACCUUUUUUAAUCUUUGAGCUAGAACAUAUGACAAAAGUUUAAAAUCUACAUUUAGAAGUGAAAUUGGACGGUAGUUUUCCAAAAGUAAAG